rnacentral:rRNA from 1 species
UACGGAGGGGGCUAGCGUUGUUCGGAAUUACUGGGCGUAAAGGGCGUGUAGGCGGUUUGUUAAGUCUGGCGUGAAAGCUCUCGGCUAAACCGGGAGAGGUCGUUGGAUACUGGCAAACUAGAGGACGGUAGAGGCGUGUGGAAUUCCGGGUGUAGUGGUGAAAUGCGUAGAGAUCCGGAGGAACACCAGUGGCGAAGGCGACACGCUGGGCCGUACCUGACGCUAAAGCGCGACAGCAUGGGGAGCAAACGGG